AUUGAACGCUGGCGGCAUGCUUUACACAUGCAAGUCGAACGGUAACAGGGUGCUUGCACCGCUGACGAGUGGCGAACGGGUGAGUAAUGCGUCGGAACGUGCCGAGUAGUGGGGGAUAACGCAGCGAAAGUUGUGCUAAUACCGCAUACGUACUGAGGUAGAAAGUGGGGGACCUUCGGGCCUCACGCUAUUCGAGCGGCCGACGCCUGAUUAGCUAGUAGGUGGGGUAAAGGCUCACCUAGGCGACGAUCAGUAGCGGGUCUGAGAGGAUGAUCCGCCACACUGGGACUGAGACACGGCCCAGACGCCGACGGGGGGCAGCAGUGGGGAAUUUUGGACAAUGGGCGAAAGCCUGAUCCAGCCAUGCCGCGUGUCUGAAGAAGGCCUUCGGGUUGUAAAGGACUUUCGUCAGGGAGGAAAUCCCUAGUGCUAAUAACACUGGGGGAUGACAGUACCUGAAGAAUAAGCACCGGCUAACUACGUGCCAGCAGCCGCGGUAA
rnacentral:rRNA from 1 species